UACAGAAGCUCUUUAGUUUAAUUAGAUCCAAUUUGUCAAUUUUGUCUUUUGUUGCCAUUGCUUUUGGUGUUUUAGACAUGAAGUCCUUGUCCAUGCCUAUGUCCUGAAUGGUAUUGCAUAGGUUUUCUUCUAGGGUUUUUAUGGUUUAAGUCUAACGUUUAAGUCUUUAAUCCAUCUUGAAUUGAUUUUUGUAUAAGGUGUAAGGAAGGGAUCCAGUUUCAGCUUUCUACAUAUGGCUAGCCAGUUUUCCCAGCACCAUUUAUUAAAUAAGGAAUCCUUUCCCCAUUGCUUGUUUUUCUCAGGUUUGUCAAAGAUCAGAUAGUUGUAGAUAUGAGGCGUUAUUUCUGAGGGCUCUGUUCUGUUCCAUUGAUCUAUAUCUCUGUUUUGGUACCAGCACCAUGCUGUUUUGGUUACUGUAGCCUUGUAGUAUAGUUUGAAGUCAGGUAGUGUGAUGCCUCCAGCUUUGUUCUUCUGGCUUAGGAUUGACUUGGCGAUGCGGGCUCUUUUUUGGUUCCAUAUGAACUUUAAAGUAGUUUUUUCCAAUUCUGUGAAGAAAGGCAUUGGUAGCUUGAUGGGGAUGGCAUUGAAUCUGUAAAUUACCUUGGGCAGUAUGGCCAUUUUCAUGAUAUUGAUUCUUCCUACCCAUGAGCAUGGAAUGUUCUUCCAUUUGUUUGUAUCCUCUUUUAUUUCAUUGAGCAGUGGUUUGUAGUUCUCCUUGAAGAGGUCCUUCACAUCCCUUGUAAGUUGGAUUCCUAGAUAUUUUAUUCUCUUUGAAGCAAUUGUGAAUGGGAUUUCACUCAUGAUUUGGCUCUCUGUUUGUCUGUUGUUGGUGUAUAAGAAUGCUUGUGAUUUUUGUACAUUGAUUUUGUAUCCUGAGACUUUGCUGAAGUUGCUUAUCAGCUUAAGGAAAUGUUUGUGAAAAUAAUAAGACCAAACUUAAAGCUAAUGUAAAAUAAAAUAAGCCAUUCCAGAUGUGGCGGAGAGGGAAAUACAAGUAACUUUUUGCUUAAAAAAAAAGACUGAUUCAUAAAACAUCCAUUUGCCAUUUAGAUGUAAGAAGUAUUUGGGAGGGAGCGGAGAAGAUAGUUUCCUUUUGGUCAAAGGAGAGCAGAUGCUUAGGAGACAUGAAGUUAUUUUCUCCUUUCCUAACUUUGCAUGAAGAUCCAUAGAAUCUGAAUGAAAUCCACAUGACAGGAAAUCUCAC
rnacentral:lncRNA from 1 species